CCUACGGGAGGCAGCAGUGAGGAAUAUUGGUCAAUGGACGAGAGUCUGAACCAGCCAAGUAGCGUGAAGGAUGACUGCCCUAUGGGUUGUAAACUUCUUUUAUAAAGGAAUAAAACGAGGCACGUGUGCCUUUUUGCAUGUACUUUAUGAAUAAGGAUCGGCUAAUUCCGUGCCAGCAGCCGCGGUAAUACGGAGGAUCCGAGCGUUAUCCGGAUUUAUUGGGUUUAAAGGGAGCGUAGGUGGCUCGUUAAGUCAGUUGUGAAAGGUUGCGGCUCAACCGUAAAAUUGCAGUUGAUACUGGGGGGUGUGAGUGCGACGGAGGGAGGUGGAAGUAGGGGUGUAGAGGUGAAAUGCUGAGAUAACACGAAGAACUCCGAUGGCGAAGGAAGUCGACCGGAGAGGUACGGACGCGGAGGCGCGAAGGGGCGGGUAUCGAACAGGAUUAGAGACCCGGGUAGUC
rnacentral:rRNA from 1 species